AUUGAACGCUGGCGGCAGGCCUAACACAUGCAAGUCGAGCGGAUGAAGGGAGCUUGCUCCUGGAUUCAGCGGCGGACGGGUGAGUAAUGCCUAGGAAUCUGACUGGUAGAUGGGGAUAACGUCCGGAAAGGGGCGCUAAUACCGCAUCCGUCCUGAGGGAGAACGUGGGGGAUCUUCGGACCACACGCUAUCAGAUGAGCCUAGGUCGGAUUAGCUAGUUGGUGGGGUAAAGGCCUACCAAGGCGACGAUCCGUAACUGGGCUGAGAGGAUGAUCAGUCACACUGGAACUGAGACACGGUCCAGACUCCUACGGGAGGCAGCAGUGGGGAAUAUUGGACAAUGGGCGAAAGCCUGAUCCAGCCAUGCCGCGUGUGUGAAGAAGGUCUUCGGAUUGUAAAGCACUUUAAGUUGGGAGGAAGGGCAGUAAGUUAAUACCUUGCUGUUUUGACGUUACCAACAGAAUAAGCACCGGCUAACUUCGUG
rnacentral:rRNA from 1 species